AUUGAACGCUGGCGGCAGGCCUAAAACAUGCAAGUCGAACGAGUGGCGGACGGGUGAGUAAUGUCUGGGAAACUGCCUGAUGGAGGGGGAAAACUACUGGAAACGGUAGAUAAUACAGCAUACCAUCGGAUGUGCCCAGAUGGGAUUAGGUAGUAGGGGGGGUAAAGGCUCACCUAGGAGACGAUCCCUAGCUGGUCGGAGAGGAUGACCAGCCACACUGGAACUGAGACACGGUCCAUACUCCUACGGGAGGCAGCAGUGGGUAAUAUGGCACAAUGGGCGCAAGCCUGAUGCAGCCAUGCCGCGUGUAUGAAGAAGGCCUUCGGGUUGUAAAGUACUUUCAGCGGGGAGGCGUUACCCGCAGAAGAAGCACCGGCUAACUCCGUGCCAGCCGCCGCGGUAAUUC
rnacentral:rRNA from 1 species